CCGUAGAUACAGUAACUUUCCAUCAUAACAAAUAUGGCGGACGUGUCAGUUACGGUACAUUUUGGAAAACUUCAAAUGAACGUUUUCUAUGUAAAUAGAUAUGAACGAAAGGCUGGACACAUUUGAGAACCUCACGAACAUUGAGGUUGUAAGAAGAUAUCGGUUAGAUAAGGAUGGCAUCGAUCGCCUUAAUCAAGAAUAUGGUGAACGUUUAUCACCUAAAACACUUGGGCCAAAGAAUGUCUCUUCUUUAGAGAAAAUCCUUAUCACCCUACGCUAUUUUGCUCCGGUGAUUUCCAGAUAAAUGAUGGUAACAUUCAUAAUUUGUCACAGCCAUCAGUGUCAAGGGCUGUGACACAGUUCACUGAGAUGCUCGCUAGCAGGGAAACUACAUCAAGAUUUAAAUUGUUCCCUCUAAAUAUGCAUGAUGUCAGCAGGGUAAAGACGGAUUUCCAAUGCAUAGCCAACUUUCCAAAUGUUGUUGGCGUUGUGGAUGGCACUCAAGUGCAGAUGUGCAGGAUGCAUAUGUCAAUAGAAUGGGAUAUCAUUCUAUCAAUACCCAGAGCUGACAUAAUAACAAGAUCAAAAGUCGAAAGGGGAAUAGGCCAACUGAAAAGAAGAUGGGGAGUGCUGCAUGGCGAAAUUCGUUUGAAACCUGAAAAGGCUUGCCACAGCUCUGCUAAUGACAUCACCUCGAGUUGGUCAUUGUCGUGACAGCUGCAGUGACACCUGACAAAGACAAUUCAUUUGUCAUACUUUGACAUAUGUACAAGACUGAGCAAAUAAAUGUACUUUGGGUUAAAGAGUUAAUUUAUUAUCAUUCAAUAAGUGGAGAAGUGUUAAUCUUUUUGAUAGCCUUUGUUGUAAAAAAAUAUUUUGUACAAAGUAACAAUGGUAUUUACUAUUUUUUUUACAAUGAGUUAUUCUUUUGUUUGAUUGAUAGGGGUAGAGUGGGGACGGGUACUGGUAAGACUGGUGUAGAUUUUUGUUUAAACAACCUCCUUCUAAAAUAAAUAUUUUUAUUAUUUAUAAGACCUAAUGGAUGUGUGGUUAAAAUUAUGUAACCACACUUAUGAAUUCUUUUUAUGUCCCCCACUAUAGUAGUGGGGGACAUAAUUGUUUUUGCCCUGUCUGUUGGUAUGUCUGUCUGUUUGCGCCAACUUUAACAUUUUGCAAUAACUUUUGCUAUAUUGAAGAUAGUAACUUCAUAUUUGGCAUGCAUGUGUAUCUCAUGAAGCUGCACAUUUUGAGUGGUGAAAGGUCAAGGUCAUCCUUCACAAUGUCAAGGUCAUCCUACAAGGUCAAACAUCAUAUAGGGGGACAUUGUGUUUCACAAACACAUCUUGUUCAAACAAAAAUGAGUUUUAUUUUUGAUUUAUUUUAAACUUGUUACCUCAGUGUAAUGACUAUUCAAACAACUAAAUUUUUGAAGGUGUAUUGUUACACCAUUACCAAUAGGUUUUUACUUUACAACAAAAUUAAACAAAAGCAACAUUGUUAAAAAUGACAUGAUAGUCUCAAUUUUUUUGAUACUUUACAUGAAGAGGACUUUAUUUUCAAAGUGAUAUAUAAGGCAUAUGAACAAAAAAAUGAGUACUUAUUUUAGAGGUAUUAAAGCAUUAACAUUUAUAAUAUUCUAUUCCUUAUAUAUUUGUUUAUUUCUAUUCUCAUUUUGCAAUUAAUUGAUGACUACCCGAGGCUGUUUGCCAUAAACACUGUAUUAUGCAAUAAAGAAUAUGGUAUGGUAUGGUACCUGUCAAUGCACGGUCUCUUAUGUAAUCUGUAUAAAUGAGACGGUGCUUGGCAACCAUGUUUAGCCACUUUUUUUCCAGCUUUUCUGCCGUCCUGUUUUUAGUUGCUUUUUGAUUGAACUUAGUUUAAACCAUCGCCCACAUCUGCGUGUUUGUUUGACUUGUUAUUCCAGUUAUUAAAUACAUAACUUGUAUUCAUUAAACAAUCACUUACUAUGUACAUAGCUUUGAUUGCUUUAUAUUGGCUUAACCGGUAUAUGUAGCAACUAGUGCAAAUAAAUUGGUGUCAAGAUUUCAA